UACGAAGGGGGCUAGCGUUGCUCGGAAUCACUGGGCGUAAAGCGCACGUAGGCGGACUCUUAAGUCGGUGGUGAAAUCCUGGAGCUCAACUCCAGAACUGCCUUCGAUACUGAGAGUCUCGAGUCCGGGAGAGGUGAGUGGAACUGCGAGUGUAGAGGUGAAAAUUCGUAGAUAUUCGCAAGAACACCAGUGGCGAAGGCGGCUCACUGGCCCGGUACUGACGCUGAGGUGCGAAAAGCGUGGGGGAGCAAACAGG
rnacentral:rRNA from 1 species